UGUGGACAGUGUAGAGAAACAGCUGCAAAAGCAAAAUGUCUUCAGUGCCUGAUGGAAAGAAACUCGUCCGAAGCCCCAGUGGUCUGCGGAUGGUGCCAGAAAACGGCGCCUUUAACAGCCCCUUCUCUCUGGACGAGCCGCAGUGGGUCCCGGAUAAAGAGUGCCCGAGAUGUAUGCAGUGCGACACCAAGUUCGACUUCAUCAGGAGAAAGCAUCACUGUCGGCGCUGUGGGCGGUGCUUCUGUGAUAAAUGCUGCAGUAAGAAGGUGGUGCUGCCCCGCAUGUGCUUCGUGGAUCCGGUGCGGCAGUGCGCCGAGUGCAGCCUGGUCUCCCAGAAGGAGAUGGAGUUCUACGACAAGCAGCUCAAAGUCCUUCUGGCAGGUGGAACCUUCGUCGUCACUUUGGGAACGUCAGACAAGUCAGAGACCAUGACGUGUCGCCUCUCCAACAACCACAGGUAUCUGUUCCUGGACGGCGAGAGUCACUUCGAGGUCGAGUUGUCUCGGAUCUCCAGCAUGCAGAUUUUGACGGACGGGAUGAGUCCAGGAGGAGGGACGUCGCGGGCCAGCGGCAUGCUGCUCCACUACAAGCCAAUGGGCUCCCAGGACAGCCAGCAGCUCCGCAUGGAGGCAGCAGAGGACAAGAAGGUGGCCUCGCUGUGGUUGGCUGCGAUGCACAAGGCAGCCAAACUGCUGUAUGAAUCCCGGGACCAGUGACGUGCAGGCAGCCUGUAAGACUGAACCCCCAGGCAGCACACACCCAAGUGUUUGGUACCCCGACUCACCGGGGUUUGGUAUCGUUUGGAUUUUAUUAACAGCAGUUUUUAUUCCGCUUAUCCAUCUGAUUCCUCAUUGAUUCCUGAUGCCAGUUCUUCUCAUGGUAACUUCUUCAAGAAAUGUUUAUAUAAGAAACACUUUAUUACCUCUAUAACCAGUACUUUGUACGUCACGUUUACCACCAGUAGGCUGAUUGUUCUUCUUUUACUUUUUUUUUCCAUCCAUCUUUCGUCUCUGAGUUCUUUAAUCCUGUUAAGUGUAGAAGAUAAAUCAGGGCUUGCUGCGUUAACGUUUCCACGGUGACACAGCAGGAGUAGAAGCUUUCCAACACGUGUUUUUAUCUGCUUUUAUCCGGAAGGUUUCUGCCUUUAAUUCCCGUUCUUUGUCUUUGUCAUAUUUGAGAUUUUGUUUUAAUCAUCCACACGAUCCUGUGAUACUCACAGUUUGUAUGUUCCCACAGAAGGCGAACGUUAAAACAUCCGUGAAACGUGACUUUCAGAAACCGUUUUUCCUAACGUCAGAGAUGCAGUAAAACUUCAGAGAGGAACAGUUUGUACAGCGACAACACAGUAAUUUUAUACGCUGCUGUUGAUUUUUUUUCUUUUUUUUAUGUGCGUGUCAACAAGGAUUUUCUUUCCUCGGAGAAUUGACGAGACGCUUCUGAAUCCCCGUGGGGACGUUGUAUUUGUCAUGUUGCUGACCGUCACAUAAACAGCACCAAGUAGGGACUGAAAGUCUCGCUCAGUGGACCUUCAGCAGGACGGAUGUUUGACGUGUGGAACCACUUUGAACCCGGGUCUUCCAGAUGAAGCAUCACGUCAUGCAGAUUAAAGGACACAUCCACCAUAAAAGUCUGUAAUGUGGAUAGAAAAGGAGCAAUAUGUGAUGUUCUUUGCAUUUCGGGAUGUUUGAGACGGUCGUCCACCGGUCACAGGGGUCACAGUUCAGUCUCCAGCUCCUCCUCUGCACAUGUUGAAGGGUCUUUGGACGGGACACUGAAACCCCGAACUGCUCCUGGACGUCUCGACUUAGCUUGUCGUCGCCUCUUUUCAACCAGAUUAGCUCUGGUUCUUGAUCGGCUUCGUUCGGGAUUCUUUAAACUUGUUGCUGUCCAGCCGUUGUGGUCAUGGAUGCAUCAUCGACGAAGGCCGUUACGCAGUGCACAACAACCUGUCCAACAGUAACCGUGCUGGGAACCAGCUUUUCUGGUUCCAUACUAAUUUAUUUUGGGGCCAAAUCUUCCCAACUGCUCAAAAUUCGGUGCUCAAACGGUGGAAGCAGUUCCACGUUGGUGGAAACGGAGUCCGUGUGGACUUGUCGGUGGGUUUUGCAGGGAGGAUUUCCUGGGACGUCUGUGUUUGCUGUUUUCUGUGGACUCCCAGCCGACUGUGAGCUGAGUGGACAUUUUGGUUCAGUAGUACACUCACAAGAGCUGAGGAAAGGCAUUGUGGGAAAUGUAUGAAGAGGCAGGUGGAGGACCAACUCCUGAAGUGCAAAGAACAUCACAGAUUUGUUCACACUUUAAACACUUUAAUUGACCUGCCGGUAGGACAGUUGGGGGUUUAGGUGACGUGUGUGUUAAUAAAUCUGCUCUGAGCUCCGAGUGUCCACAGACCUUCAGGCCUCGGCGUCUGAGGACACGACAGACUUUUCACUGAUUCUAGUGAAGCAUUAACAACACACACACACGUGCAUAAAUGCUUUAAAUGUAGUUUCAUGUAUUAAAGUUUUGUAUAAGCUAUUUUGUUAACUAUUCCUACUUUAUGUACUUGCAUAAUUUUCAAAGCUGAGGUGUGACUGUUUUUGUUUUUGGAACAUUUGUAAACAGUAAUUUCUUUUGUCCUUCCUCAAAGACCUGAACAGACUCUGCUUUUCCUUUUUUAUUUUGUCUUUAUUGUCCAGACGUGUGAAGUCGAGCUCCUGUUCUGUUCGGGUCGGUGGGUUCGUCACCUUUUCUAAACAAACAGUUGAGUUUUGACUGCGAUGGUGAAAGUGUUGAGUGCACGAAUGCAAACUCUACAGCCAAACUUACAAACCGAUCGACACCAACCGCUAAAGUCGACCGCGGUUCAGUUUGUGCCUUUUUAUGUCAUCAUUACAUCAGACUCACAGAGUUACUGAAUCACCUCUUUGACACCAUUUGUGGUCCACUGGCCAUUCAGUCCAUUUACAUUCUGUGUUACUCCUUUAAUGUCCGCCAUUCCAGUGCUGGAUUCCGGUAGCCUGCCGACAUGUAAAGGAUUUGCCGUAAAACAGCACAGCAUGUAAUCCAGCACAAAUCCAUUCAGACCAGCAGAAAGUUUUUAGCGGUUUUAUUUUUACUUUUUCAUGAAAGCAAACUGAACUCUGUGAGUCGAAUGUAAUGAGGCGCACUGGGCCGUUUGAAAGUCAGGUUUCACUUCCGAACAAUAAAAGACAUCCUAACAUUCAUUUUCCACCCGUGACCUUGUGAGACGAUUUUGAAGAUUUGGUCCCUCGUGUUGAGCUGCUUCUUCCGUAAAUCACAGGAUUGGUGGCAUUUAGGUUUUAUAUCAAAGUCGAGAUGUGCAUCUUAAAACACGUUUAUAAUUUAGCAUGAAGUGGAUUCGUGAAUUUGAGCAGGAAUGUAAAAUUGUAAGAAGUGUAAAACUCAACUCUGCUUCCUCUUUCUGGAGCUUUCAGUCACGACUCAAAUCCUUCAUUUGCUCGGUUGCCAUCACUGAAGUUGUGGGCUUUUGGUAAAAUGCGAGCAGGUCGUCGUGUAUGAGACGCACGCGUGAUGAUGAAAGCUCCAGAAACGGCGAGCGAGUGGAUCUCGAGCUGAGGAUCUUUUUGGCUUUUGCAUGCGUGACCUUUUAAAUCUGUCAGAACAGCAGAGCAAACGGAUUUUAAGUGCACAGUUGAAUUUCAGUUGCUAACAUUUUGUGCUAAACUUUAAAAAACUUCCUUGUGUCUUCCCCGUUUCUCUGAACAAAGAGCACAGAAGUGGCGGCCGUUCGGCCUUCGACCUUGUCGUGAUGAAAUGUGUGUCGUGUAACACUCAGCACUUCCGCUUUGUGACGUAAAGUUUUUUUUUUGUUUUUUUUUUACCUGCUGCUCACCUAAGAGUUAAAAUCACACGUAGCUGUCUGGUUUGAGGCUUUGGGAACAGAGAUGGAGGAAGAUGAGGUUUGGUGGAGGAGGACGUGUAGAUGUUCAUGUUGUCAGGGCGAUUUGAACAUGUGACAGCUGCACACUGACAAACACUAACCAUCAUGACGAGUGAUGUGCCUGUCAGGUACGUCAGCCCUUCAGGUGAAGUCUGAAACUCUUAGCUCGGUGCCUGAAGGCUCCGUCCUUCCAGCUCUGAGCCUGCAGUGCUUCCCAUGAAUCAGUUCAUGGCAGAAGAGGCCUGAUGAUCCUGUCGUUUCGCCGUGCAGCCUCCUCAGUCUGUCCUCGGUUGAGUUUUUCCUUCCUUCACCAAGUCACGUUUGUACCUGCACUUUACAUCCACCCUGAUUACAUCCCUUUUGUCCCUGUGCUUCGUUUUAUUACGCUGCAGAUACUACAGCCUUUGUUGGGUUAUUCUGCUGAGAAUAAAGUGUUUAUACAUUUGUGGUGUUGUCUGUGUCAUUUGUGUGUGACUUCAGCUGCACAAGAAAUACAAAUCGUGCCAUUAGUUCUCAUUAGUACUUCAUUUGCAGUACUUGAUUUACCUGCAGCCUGUGUAUACACCUGUUGUGCACAGGCUGCCUGUGGUUCCCCGUGUGGUGAAGCGGUGGACUGCUGAGAGCGAGGAGGCUCUGAGGGACCGCUUCAGCACUACUGCAGACUGGAUCACGGAUGACAUUAACUUCUGCUUUGAGAACACCGUACCCUCCAGAACAGAGUCUUCAGACCAGGGAACAAGGAGGAGCUGAGGAGGGAGAUCAGGGAGGGGAAGGCCAACUAAAGGAGGAAGAUGGAGGAGCAGCUGCAACGACAGAACGUCAGCGGGGUGAGGCGGAGCCUGAAGACCAUCUCAGGCUUCAAAGCACCCAACGUCCAGGCCGAGGGGGACCGACGAUGGGUGAAUGAUCUCAAUCUGCAUUUCCUAAGUUUUGAUCAAUCUCCCUCCCCUUCCCCCACACGGCUGCAUGCCUCCACCCUAACACCUGAACAAUCCCCCACUCCCUCAGCCCUUCACACCUCUGGCCCAGCCCAACUCUGCAUCACUUCACAGCUUCAGGCACUCAUUACGCCUAUCCUUAGCCAGCAGUGUGGGCUGUUGUUUAAGACUUCCUCCGUACAGUCACCCAGCCUCCCUGGUUUCCCGGCUGCUCGGUUAGCAGGAGCCACACUAGAUCGGUCUGCACCGGCUAAUGCAGGCUGGCUAACUACAGCAGCUAAUGACUUUGUUUCCACGGUGCGAAGCCGCGUUCCUGAUUCACUAAGCCUCGCCCCCAGCGCUGCAAAUAAACUACAUUUAUUACAUUUACCAUUUUCACUAGUGCUUUGCAGUCUGACAGGGCCUGACUGCAACGGACAAUCAGGGCUGAGGGAGGAUCAUUGGAGCUGACCUCCCCUCCACCCAGGACCUGUACAGGUCCAGGGUCAGCAAAAGGGCAACAAAGAUCUCUGCAGAUCCCUCACAUCCUGGUCACAAACUGUUUAAACUCCUUCCCUCUGGCAGGCGAUACAGGUCACCGUCCGCCAAAACCAGCCGGCACAAAGCAGUCACUGUGUUGAACACUCUGAAACAGGCCCCAUCCUUACACUGGACGAUGACAAUCACAAAUGUCAUCCUCAUCUACAUCACUAAUUUAACAGCACAGUACCAUUAUUAUCUGCCUAUUGCACAGCACUGCCUUGCACUGUAUUUAUUUAUUUAAAUCCUAGUCUACCUACACUGUCACUGCACUACUCCACAGAUUCACUGCUAUUGUAUAUAGUAUUUUUUAUCUUUAUCUUAUUGUAUAUAGUACCUUUGUGUUCUUACUGAUUGGAGUUUGUUUUUGUACUCGAGAGCAAAGUCUAACCAGAGUCAAAUUCCUUGUUUGUACACGCAAACUUGGCCAAUAAAGCUGAUUCUGAUUCACUAAAUGAGGCUGAGGAAUAACUAAACAUGAGACACACCCAGCAGGACAGCAAGGGGGGUCACAGAAGCUAUCGCUAAUAAACAGGCUAAGCUAGCGACCUUAACGAUCACAAGAUUAGCGUGGAAACCGCUAAAAGGAGUGCAUAACAGUUUGACUCGAACAGGCGUUUAAAAUAACAAUGAAAUUACUAGAUGUAGUGGACAGUAGAACAGCUUGAGCGAGGUUAAAUGAAAGAGCAGUGCAGAGCUGUUAGCAACAACAGGAAGUGACGUAGGACGCUUACUGUAGCCACGCCUCCACCUGUUGUCUGUGCAUAGUAUAUAGUUCAGGUGAAUGAAGCAGCAGCAGACAGCAAACCGUCCAGAAGUCAGCAUGGAUGUGAAGACAAACUGUGUGCUGCUCAGCCCAGAGGAGCAGCAGACAGCAAACCGUCCAGAAGUCAGCAUGGAUGUGAAGACAAACUGUGUGCUGCUCAGUUCAGAGGAGCAGCAGACAGCAAACCGUCCAGAAGUCAGCAUGGAUGUGAAGACAAACUGUGUGCUGCUCAGAAAGCGUCACAGACAAGACUCCUGUUCUUCUGUCGAGUCGUUUGAGAGCGAUCGCUCAAAAGGAAGCGUCCCUGAUUUCAAAAAAGAAUCCCUGUUCUCCUCCGAUGAAGAUAAAAAUGAAAAGGACGAGACGAGCCUCCUCGCCGCCCAGCCGUCUGAAGACAAAGAUGGGAUGAAGACGUCAUCGAGGCAGCAGCCAGCAGCUUCUGCUGCUUGUUGAUGACGUCCCGUCUGCUGUUACUUGCGCUCAUCCUGAUGCCGCAUCAGUUUUCUUUAGAAAAGUUCUGUUUUAAGCUUAGACAGUCACCUUUAAAGCAUUAAUGAUUUGUACUGUUGAGAGUUCAGUUUGUUACGCGUCUGCAUCAGCAGCUCCCUGAGGCGUAACAGAGCACGUAACAACAGGACCUCUCACUCUGCACAUCCUUAGCAGCUCUGGGCUAACAGCUAACCCUGGGACAGCUUAGACCCUUUUCAUGCAUACCUCAUUGUUAACCUAAGCUACAAGAUUCACACAACACUUUGAUUUUCAGAGGAUAACCUUCUAAACUUUGGGCUAACUCUGCUCUGGAGCGGGCCAGUGAGUUCUAUGCUAAAGGUUAGCCUGCUUUGGUAAGUGCUAACGUGAAAACUUCCUUACCCUGGGCUAACAGCCUCAUUAGCUUCAAGCUAAAGGGUACGAAGGUUGUUUUCACACCUGCACUUCAGUUCAUUUGGUUGAGAGCAAGAGAACAACGUGACACAUUACUCAAUUCUGCCGUUCGUUCGUUUUCUUUCACACCAAAAACUUCUCUAAGCUUUCGGUCACGGCUGCCCCUCAGCCGGUCAACACAGGAGUCGCUGCUCUUCCACUGCCUCCAUCGUUUAGCUUGAUUGUGUUAUUGUUUAAAGUGUGAAGUCACCAAAAUGACACCAUAACACAAAUAAGUUAAAUAUUUUUAUAGUACUAAUAUUUUAUAGUAAUUUUUCUAUAGUAGAGAAAUUCCACUGCUAUUUUUACUUCAUACUAAGCAGCUUUUUUCUUUCCUCUGUAUUCUUAUUUACUGUAUAUUUAAUUAAUAGUCAUUUUGAGUAUUGGGGAUGACUGUAGUGUUUUAAAAUUCUGCAGUAAAACAACUUCAAAAGGUUCACAGAGGGAGCGUAUUUGCAAACUGAGGUCCCUGCUGGCGCCCACCUGCUCUGCCGUUCACAGACGUGUAGAUUUCAGUGUUUAGGAGGUGCACCUGAACGCACCGUCACGUUCUGUCCACCUGCCCUCUGAGGUUUUGUGUUAAAUUUGUGAGCGGUGGGCGUCUUUUACCUCCUGGUCCUGUCAGAAAGGAGCUUGUUCCUUGGAUUGUGUUCGUCUUGCUAAUAAAACAGCAUAAUGCUGCUUAUCUAAA